CAGUCGCCGCGGUAAUACGAAGGGGGCUAGCGUUGUUCGGAUUUACUGGGCGUAAAGCGUGCGUGGGCGGUUUGUUAAGUCUGUUGUGAAAUCCCCGGGCUCAACCUGGGAAUGGCAAUGGAUACUGGCAAGCUAGAGUGUGUCAGAGGAUGGUGGAAUUCCCGGUGUAGCGGUGAAAUGCGUAGAGAUCGGGAGGAACAUCAGUGGCGAAGGCGGCCAUCUGGGACAACACUGACGCUGAGGCACGAAAGCGUGGGGAGCAAACAGGAUUAGAUACCCCGGUAGUCCCUGUCUCUUAUAC
rnacentral:rRNA from 1 species